rnacentral:rRNA from 2 species
CCGGCUUACCAACCCGAUGCAAACUGCGAAUACCGGAGAAUGUUAUCACGGGAGACACACGGCGGGUGCUAACGUCCGUCGUGAAGAGGGAAACAACCCAGACCGCCAGCUAAGGUCCCAAAGUCAUGGUUAAGUGGGAAACGAUGUGGGAAGGCCCAGACAGCCAGGAUGUUGGCUUAGAAGCAGCCAUCAUUUAAAGAAAGCGUAAUAGCUCACUGGUCGAGUCGGCCUGCGCGGAAGAUGUAACGGGGCUAAACCAUGCACCGAAGCUGCGGCAGCGACACUGUGUGUUGUUGGGUAGGGGAGCGUUCUGUAAGCCUGUGAAGGUGUGUCGUGAGGCAUGCUGGAGGUAUCAGAAGUGCGAAUGCUGACAUAAGUAACGAUAAAGCGGGUGAAAAGCCCGCUCGCCGGAAGACCAAGGGUUCCUGUCCAACGUUAAUCGGGGCAGGGUGAGUCGACCCCUAAGGCGAGGCCGAAAGGCGUAGUCGAUGGGAAACGGGUUAAUAUUCCCGUACUUGGUGUUACUGCGAAGGGGGGACGGAGAAGGCUAUGUUGGCCGGGCGACGGUUGUCCCGGUUUAAGCGUGUAGGUGUGUGUUCCAGGUAAAUCCGGUUCACUUUAACACUGAGGCGUGACGACGAGGCACUACGGUGCUGAAGCAACAAAUGCCCUGCUUCCAGGAAAAGCCUCUAAGCAUCAGGUAACAUCAAAUCGUACCCCAAACCGACACAGGUGGUCAGGUAGAGAAUACCAAGGCGCUUGAGAGAACUCGGGUGAAGGAACUAGGCAAAAUGGUGCCGUAACUUCGGGAGAAGGCACGCUGACACGUAGGUGAAGUGAUUUACUCAUGGAGCUGAAGUCAGUCGAAGAUACCAGCUGGCUGCAACUGUUUAUUAAAAACACAGCACUGUGCAAACACGAAAGUGGACGUAUACGGUGUGACGCCUGCCCGGUGCCGGAAGGUUAAUUGAUGGGGUCAGCGCAAGCGAAGCUCCUGAUCGAAGCCCCGGUAAACGGCGGCCGUAACUAUAACGGUCCUAAGGUAGCGAAAUUCCUUGUCGGGUAAGUUCCGACCUGCACGAAUGGCGUAAUGAUGGCCAGGCUGUCUCCACCCGAGACUCAGUGAAAUUGAACUCGCUGUGAAGAUGCAGUGUACCCGCGGCAAGACGGAAAGACCCCGUGAACCUUUACUAUAGCUUGACACUGAACAUUGAGCCUUGAUGUGUAGGAUAGGUGGGAGGCUUUGAAGUGUGGACGCCAGUCUGCAUGGAGCCGACCUUGAAAUACCACCCUUUAAUGUUUGAUGUUCUAACGUGGACCCGUUACCCGGGUUGCGGACAGUGUCUGGUGGGUAGUUUGACUGGGGCGGUCUCCUCCUAAAGAGUAACGGAGGAGCACGAAGGUUGGCUAAUCCUGGUCGGACAUCAGGAGGUUAGUGCAAUGGCAUAAGCCAGCUUGACUGCGAGCGUGACGGCGCGAGCAGGUGCGAAAGCAGGUCAUAGUGAUCCGGUGGUUCUGAAUGGAAGGGCCAUCGCUCAACGGAUAAAAGGUACUCCGGGGAUAACAGGCUGAUACCGCCCAAGAGUUCAUAUCGACGGCGGUGUUUGGCACCUCGAUGUCGGCUCAUCACAUCCUGGGGCUGAAGUAGGUCCCAAGGGUAUGGCUGUUCGCCAUUUAAAGUGGUACGCGAGCUGGGUUUAGAACGUCGUGAGACAGUUCGGUCCCUAUCUGCCGUGGGCGCUGGAGAACUGAGGGGGGCUGCUCCUAGUACGAGAGGACCGGAGUGGACGCAUCACUGGUGUUCGGGUUGUCAUGCCAAUGGCACUGCCCGGUAGCUAAAUGCGGAAGAGAUAAGUGCUGAAAGCAUCUAAGCACGAAACUUGCCCCGAGAUGAGUUCUCCCUGAGACUUAGAGUCUCCUGAAGGAACGUUGAAGACGACGACGUUGAUAGGCCGGGUGUGUAAGCGCAGCGAUGCGUUGAGCUAACCGGUACUAAUGAACCGUGAGGCUUAACCUUACAACGCCGAAG